UGUGAGGGUACUGUAACGACCCGAUCCACGAGCAAUAAUAGCCCAUUGGUUGCAACCACCAGCUCAAAAUGCUUAAGCUCAGUUAUUAUUAAAAGGAUGUGUGGCCUCUUAUAUUUCCAGUCAAAACUCUUUUUUCAUCCGAUGUGGGAUUAAUCAAAACCUCUUUUCCAUUUGAGAUAGGACUAACAAUGUGAAAUCUCUUGAGGUGGCUAUUGCGGGUUUAACAGAUAGCUCUCACCAAACUCAUGAUGUAGUACUUUGUCCCACAUAGUACUUAACUUUUACACUUUCGGCUGGUAUUCAGCUCUGAUACCAACUGUAACUAACUCUUAUACUUUCGGCUGGUAUUCAGCUUUGAUACCAACUAUAACUAUCCGACCUAUUGGCAAUAAUAACUCGUUGGGCUCAAACUCCCAGCCCAAAAUACUUAAGCAUAGUUUUUAUUACUUAAAUGCAUAGCCUCUUAUAUUUUCAAUCAGAAUUCUUUUUCUAUCUGAUAUGGG
rnacentral:lncRNA from 1 species